rnacentral:rRNA from 1 species
UAACUCGAUAAUCCACGACUACCUAACCUUUUUUAGAAAUUCAGCUUGUGUACUGCCGUUGUAAGCACACCUUUAAAAGAACCAGUGUGCCUCUAUAACCUCACCUAACAUGAGACUCAUAUACAUCAGGUCAAAGUGCAGCUAAUAAAGAGGAGAUGAUGGGUUACAACCAAAAUAAAGAUACGAAUUAACAUAUUAAAAAAUUAUGAAGGUGGACUUGGAUGUAAUUAAGUACAGAAAAAUAAAAUGAAUUCUCAUCUAAGACAUGCACACAUCGCCCGUCACUCUACCCCCAAGGCUAGAUAAGUCGUAACAAAGUAGGUGUAAUGGAAAUUGCACCUGUCGAAGUAUAGCAUAUUUAUAAUGCUUUUUACUUACACUAAAAAUAAAACAGAAGUUUACUUCGCCCACAUUUCACAAUCUUAUAAUCUACAUAUUAUAAAAACAAUAAACAAAACAAACUAAAUAGUACAGAAAUGGAAAUCCUAAUAAAUAUAAGUAAGUAUUAACAACUGUACCUUGUGCAUUAUGGUUUUACAAGAAAAUCUUUAACUAAAUAAAUCCCGAAUUCUUCAUGAGAUGUUAAUAUACCGUUAAGAACCUAUCAGUAACUGUGGAAAAAGUUUUGAAAGAUAUAUUAACAGAGGCUACAUACCAACCGCAUAAGAAAAUAGCUGGUUCUCAACCAACAUUAUAAAUUAAAGCAUGUAGAAAUUUUACAGUGUUAAACUAUCGAGGACAAGCCCGAUAAUCAAAGCCAUACAAAUAAAUCUCAAAAUAAUAACAUAGGCUUAGAAUCAGCCAUUAAUAGUGCCUCACCGCAACAAAAAUAGAAAAAAUAAAUCAAAUAACAUGCUACACAUAAUUGAGAUACGGGCACAACUCUCCUAGGCCCGCUUUAAUAUGUAAAAAUAAGUAUUUAUAAAUAAAAAACAAAAACAAGCUAAACCAAAAAAAAAUAUAUAACCAAUCACUAACUAAGGAACUCGGCAAACACUUAUUUCGACUGUUUAACAAAAACAUUGCCAUAUGAAUAAAUAUAUAAGGUAAUU